UUCACUGGCCAGCAGUUGCAACCACACGAUGUUGCAAUUUUGCACAGUCACCUUAAUCGCGAUACAAUCCAAGCCCCGAACGGGCCGGGUUUAACCAGUUGGCUUGAUGGAAUUGCCAGCAUAAUGCCAGCAUCUUAGCCUUGAGGGAUCCUCAGGUCAUGCGGCGGUAACACAGCGGAACCCCAUCCGCCCAAAACACAUGGCCCAUGUGGCAAGGCUCCGGACAGGCCAGGAUCGGGAUUCGGUGGCGGUAUCAAACCGAGGCCAACAGAAACCCGAUCGGGUACAUCUGCCAACUGGCGUGGAUGCGCCCGUACAGGCGCCGGAACACGCGCGACAUGAAGCCGCGCUGCUCCAGUAGCGCAUCGGUGUUGGCUUGCUCAAUGUCCGUUUCCGCCGGCGCGUGUGCGCUUCAAUGCCCGCAGCAGCAGGAUGAGGAUGCGCAGGUUGACCAGACCAAUCACAGUCAGGAACAGGGCCGAGACCACGGUGCCGACCACGCCGCCCAUGCCGCGCAUCAGCGCCAUGUGCGAUUCGGUUUCCCGGGCCGCCAGCGCGAGCCCCAGCGACAGCAGAAUCACCACCGUCGAGUGACCGAGCGAGAAAAACAGACCGACGCUGCCGGGGCGCUGGCCAUCCUGGCGCAGCUUGCGCGUCACGUUGUCGAUCGCGGCGAUGUGAUCGGCAUCGAAGGCAUGGCGCAGGCCAAAGAAAUACGCCAUCGAGCCGAUGCCGAACAGGGCGGCG
rnacentral:rRNA from 1 species